rnacentral:ncRNA from 1 species
CCCGACCAAGGCACACCGCUCGAAAGGGCGGCUCGCGAAGCCACGGGCCUUCCACCGCAACCGCGGUCACGGCAGCCGGGCCACCGCAG